ACCAUCCUCCAAGGCUAAAUACUCCUGACUGACCGAUAGUGAACCAGUACCGUGAGGGAAAGGCGAAAAGAACCCCGGCGAGGGGAGUGAAAAAGAACCUGAAACCGUGUACGUACAAGCAGUGGGAGCACGCUUAGGCGUGUGACUGCGUACCUUUUGUAUAAUGGGUCAGCGACUUAUAUUCUGUAGCAAGGUUAACCGAAUAGGGGAGCCGAAGGGAAACCGAGUCUUAACUGGGCGUUAAGUUGCAGGGUAUAGACCCGAAACCCGGUGAUCUAGCCAUGGGCAGGUUGAAGGUUGGGUAACACUAACUGGAGGACCGAACCGACUAAUGUUGAAAAAUUAGCGGAUGACUUGUGGCUGGGGGUGAAAGGCCAAUCAAACCGGGAGAUAGCUGGUUCUCCCCGAAAGCUAUUUAGGUAGCGCCUCGUGAAUUCAUCUCCGGGGGUAGAGCACUGUUUCGGCAAGGGGGUCAUCCCGACUUACCAACCCGAUGCAAACUGCGAAUACCGGAGAAUGUUAUCACGGGAGACACACGGCGGGUGCUAACGUCCGUCGUGAAGAGGGAAACAACCCAGACCGCCAGCUAAGGUCCCAAAGUCAUGGUUAAGUGGGAAACGAUGUGGGAAGGCCCAGACAGCCAGGAUGUUGGCUUAGAAGCAGCCAUCAUUUAAAGAAAGCGUAAUAGCUCACUGGUCGAGUCGGCCUGCGCGGAAGAUGUAACGGGGCUAAACCAUGCACCGAAGCUGCGGCAGCGACGCUGAUGCGUUGUUGGGUAGGGGAGCGUUCUGUAAGCCUGCGAAGGUGUGCUGUGAGGCAUGCUGGAGGUAUCAGAAGUGCGAAUGCUGACAUAAGUAACGAUAAAGCGGGUGAAAAGCCCGCUCGCCGGAAGACCAAGGGUUCCUGUCCAACGUUAAUCGGGGCAGGGUGAGUCGACCCCUAAGGCGAGGCCGAAAGGCGUAGUCGAUGGGAAACAGGUUAAUAUUCCUGUACUUGGUGUUACUGCGAAGGGGGGACGGAGAAGGCUAUGUUGGCCGGGCGACGGUUGUCCCGGUUUAAGCGUGUAGGCUGGUUUUCCAGGCAAAUCCGGAAAAUCAAGGCUGAGGCGUGAUGACGAGGCACUACGGUGCUGAAGCAACAAAUGCCCUGCUUCCAGGAAAAGCCUCUAAGCAUCAGGUAACAUCAAAUCGUACCCCAAACCGACA
rnacentral:rRNA from 1 species